GACGAACGCUGGCGGCGUGCUUAACACAUGCAAGUCGAACGGUAAGGCCCUUCGGGGUACACGAGUGGCGAACGGGUGAGUAACACGUGGGUGAUCUGCCCUGCACUUCGGGAUAAGCCUGGGAAACUGGGUCUAAUACCGGAUAGGACCACUGCCUGCAUGGGUGGUGGUGGAAAGAUUUUGCGGUGUGGGAUGGGCCCGCGGCCUAUCAGCUUGUUGGUGGGGUGAUGGCCUACCAAGGCGACGACGGGUAGCCGGCCUGAGAGGGUGACCGGCCACACUGGGACUGAGAUACGGCCCAGACUCCUACGGGAGGCAGCAGUGGGGAAUAUUGCACAAUGGGCGCAAGCCCGAUGCAGCGACGCCGCGUGAGGGAUGACGGCCUUCGGGUUGUAAACCUCUUUCAGCACCGACGAAGCGCAAGUGACGGUAGGUGCAGAAGAAGGACCGGCCAACUACGUGCCAGCCGCCGCAGUAA
rnacentral:rRNA from 1 species